rnacentral:rRNA from 1 species
UACGGAGGGGGCUAGCGUUGUUCGGAAUUACUGGGCGUAAAGCGCACGUAGGCGGAUCAGCAAGUUAGGGGUGAAAUCCCGGGGCUCAACCCCGGAACUGCCUUUAAGACUGUUGGUCUGGAGUCCGAGAGAGGUGAGUGGAAUUCCGGGUGGAGUGGUGAAAUGCGUAGAGAUCCGGAGGAACACCGGUGGCGAAGGCGGGUCUCUGGGCCGAAACUGACGCUGAGGAGCGAAAGCGUGGGGAGCAAACAGG